GUGGGGAAUAUUGGACAAUGGGCGCAAGCCUGAUCCAGCCAUGCCGCGUGAGUGAUGAAGGCCUUAGGGUUGUAAAGCUCUUUCGUCAGGGAAGAUAAUGACGGUACCUGAAGAAGAAGCCCCGGCUAACUUCGUGCCAGCAGCCGCGGUAAUACGAAGGGGGCUAGCGUUGCUCGGAAUCACUGGGCGUAAAGCGCACGUAGGCGGCUUUCUAAGUCAGGGGUGAAAUCCUGGAGCUCAACUCCAGAACUGCCUUUGCUACUGGAGAGCUUGAGUUCGGGAGAGGUGAGUGGAACUGCGAGUGUAGAGGUGAAAUUCGUAGAUAUUCGGAAGAACACCAGUGGCGAAGGCGACUCACUGGCCCAAUACUGACGCUGAGGCGCGAAAGCGUGGGGAGCAAACAGGAUUAGAUACCCCUGUAGUCC
rnacentral:rRNA from 1 species